rnacentral:rRNA from 1 species
GACGAACGCUGGCGGCGUGCUUAACACAUGCAAGUCGAACGGUGAAGCGCCUUCCUUUUUGGUGGGUGUGGAUGAGUGGCGAACGGGUGAGUAACACGUGAGUAACCUGCCCCCUUCUUCUGGAUAACCGCAUGAAAGUGUGGCUAAUACGGGAUAUUCUGGGUCUGUCGCAUGAUGGGUCUGGGAAAGAUAUUGUUUCGGUGGGGGAUGGGCUCGCGGCCUAUCAGCUUGUUGGUGGGGUGAUGGCCUACCAAGGCGGUGACGGGUAGCCGGCCUGAGAGGGUAGACGGUCACACUGGGACUGAGACACGGCCCAGACUCCUACGGGAGGCAGCAGUGGGGAAUAUUGCACAAUGGGCGCAAGCCUGAUGCAGCGACGCCGCGUGAGGGAUGGAGGCCUUCGGGUUGUGAACCUCUUUCGCCAGUGAAGCAGGCCUGCCUCGUUUGUGGGUGGGUUGACGGUAGCUGGAUAAGAAGCGCCGGCUAACUACGUG